UGUGACGAGACCAAUCUCGCCACAUUGCAUUGGAGAAGCCUGGUUGCUCGCCUGCUGCCUCUGGACUAUGGCCCCCUUUUAAAAGACUUUAUUUCGCCUGGAGAAAAGCUGUAUUCGUGCUUUUCUGCCAGUUGUUCGGUAGAUUCAAUCUACCGAACAACCGCACGAAUGAAUAGACCACCUGGGAGCUGGAGUGUGCCGGCAAUUAACCUCCCU